CAAUCCCCUCUAUGGCUAAAAUGAGGCUGUGUGUGUGCUCCUUGCUGUGUAUGGUUGUAUCAGUGAGACUAUCCAGGGCAGAUAGUGUUAUACAAACACACAUUGAAAUUUCAUAUGAGGAGGGAAGACAGGUCACCUUCUUUUGCAAAUAUGAAACAUUGGAUACUUACCCUUAUCUCCACUGGUAUGUGCAGCACCCUGGGAAAAGACCUGACUUUAUCUUACAGAGAAAUCCGUACAGCAAAGAAGAGGUGGAAAAAGGGACAAAGUUUUCAGCAAAACUGGAUAAAGAGAGCAAGUCCAUCUCCCUGAGUAUUUCUGGUGUCAGUGUGUCUGACUCAGGGGUGUAUUAUUGUGCUCUAAGGCCCACAGUGUCUCUGUCUGCCGACUGCUGUGUACAAGAAGCUGUCACUUUGCUCAGCACAUGAACAGAUUAAAUGUUGUGUGCUCUGGAUACAUACAAGUCAAGAACAGUGUUUUAUUUAAUACAUUUAAUUUUAAAACAUUGAUAAUAAAGUUUCACAUGCAGUAACAAUAUAUAUUUUAUACAAAAA